GUAUGCCACCUCUCCGAUUCGCUGCUCUACCUCGAACGGUCCAUAAAACCUUGGAUUGAGUUUGAGGUUCUGCCGAGUAGUGAGGGACGAUUGCCGAUACGGUUGGAGCUUCAAAAAUACCCAAUCUCCCACUUGGACCCACAGCUGCUCACGGUCACGCAAGGUCCUUCAAUCUAGUGCCUUCGGCCAUUGGAGUUUCAGGAUAGCAGGAUCUGGGCUCUUGGAUACCACUUGUAAUAAACUAAUAGUAGUAGUGAAUAUAAUGGAAUGUAUAAGGGACUGUAAUAUUGAUAAAAAGCCUCACGGCAGUAGCAACACUUUCUUCGAGGGAAAGGACCUCCACAGUAGCGAUGAAUAGUAGAA